UAUUCCACAAACCAAAUAACAUUGGGAUGCCCAGCCAGUGUAGUUCAGUGGCUGACCAUUGAGCCAGGAACUAAGAGGCUACCGGUUCAAUUCCCAAUCAGGGCACAUGCCUGGGUUGUGGGCUCACUCCCAUGUGGGGAG